rnacentral:rRNA from 1 species
UCCGUAGGCGGGCAGCUAAGUCAGUGGUGAAAGUCUGCAGCUCAACUGUAGAAUUGCCAUUGAUACUGGUUGUCUUGAAUUAUUAUGAAGUGGUUAGAAUAUGUAGUGUAGCGGUGAAAUGCAUAGAUAUUACAUAGAAUACCAAUUGCGAAGGCAGAUCACUAAUAGUAUAUUGACGCUGAUGGACGAAAGCGUGGGGAGCGAACAGGAUUAGAUACCCUGGUAGUCC